AGAGUUUGAUCCUGGCUCAGGAUGAACGCUGGCGGCGUGCUUAACACAUGCAAGUCGAACGGAGCGAUGACACGGAGUCUUCGGAUGAAGUGUUAUGGCUUAGUGGCGGACGGGUGAGUAACACGUGAGCAACCUACCUUUUGCAGGGGAAUAACUCUGGGAAACCAGAGCUAAUACCGCAUGCCGUGCGCUUGGGGCAUCCCAGGUGCAUGAAAGGAGCAAUCCGGCAGAAGAUGGGCUCGCGUCCGAUUAGGUAGUUGGAGAGGUAAUGGCUCCCCAAGCCGACGAUCGGUAGCCGGACUGAGAGGUCGACCGGCCACAUUGGGACUGAGAACGGCCCAGACUCCUACGGGAGGCAGCAGUGGGGAAUAUUGGGCAAUGGACGCAAGUCUGACCCAGCGAUGCCGCGUGAAGGAUGGAAGGCCCUCGGGUUGUAAACUUCUUUAGACAGGGAAGAAAGAAAUGACAUUACCUGUAGAAUAAGCCACGGCUAACUACGUGCCAGCAGCCGCGGUAAUUC
rnacentral:rRNA from 1 species